CGUUUUAAGAGGCGUAACGGUUUCGCUACGUGCGCGAGCAUGUAGAUGACGAAGAGGGAACACGGUGAGGUACCUUAGCGUAUCAACGCCGUGGCUGCGCCCGCAACUGUAAGCGGCAAGUCUCCUCCAAACAUGCCACUGGCGCUUCGCGUUGAAGCCCGGGAAGGUCGGAGAGAGAUGUUCGAGCCGCGAGCCAGGAGACCUGCCGUUGCGAGUCGCCCUUU
rnacentral:ncRNA from 2 species